GGGAUACUCAGUCUUCUUGCUUGUAGGCGAGCAACUCGGGAGUUGGUUACAAGGAUGGCAUCUUUGAGGACUAGAGCUGACGUUCACAAGUCUUUGUUGGUUUUCCCAUCAUGGCUAGAGGAGAUUGAGAUGCCAUGGCUUCUGCCAUCCUCUCUCCUUUGUUGUUGGUGGUUAUUUGAGCCUGGAAAUUUUGUUGAAGACGGUUAUUUAAUCUUGGGUUAUGGGUUUCAGUCUUACCCUUGGAGGACUCUGCCCCAAAUUUUGUACAGUUUCAACUAGUGAAACCUUGAUU
rnacentral:misc_RNA from 1 species